rnacentral:rRNA from 1 species
CCUACGGGAGGCAGCAGUGGGGAAUAUUGCGCAAUGGGGGGAACCCUGACGCAGCCAUGCCGCGUGAAUGAAGAAGGCCUUCGGGUUGUAAAGUUCUUUCGGUGACGAGGAAGGUUGUUGUGUUAAUAGCGCAACAAAUUGACGUUAAUCACAGAAGAAGCACCGGCUAACUCCGUGCCAGCAGCCGCGGUAAUACGGAGGGGGCGAGCGUUAAUCGGAAUAACUGGGCGUAAAGGGCACGCAGGCGGACUUUUAAGUGAGGUGUGAAAUCCCCGGGCUUAACCUGGGAAUUGCAUUUCAGACUGGGUAACUAGAGUACGUUAGGGGGGGGUAGAAUUCCACGUGUAGCGGUGAAAUGCGUAGAGAUGUGGAGGAAUACCGAAGGCGAAGGCAGCCCCUUGGGAAGGUACUGACGCUCAUGUGCGAAAGCGUGGGGAGCAAACAGGAUUAGAUACCCUAGUAGUC